rnacentral:rRNA from 1 species
AACGAACGCUGGCGGCAUGCCUAACACAUGCAAGUCGAACGAGACCUUCGGGUCUAGUGGCGCACGGGUGCGUAACGCGUGGGAACCUGCCCUUAGGUUCGGAAUAACUCCCCGAAAGGGGUGCUAAUACCGGAUAAUGUCUUCGGACCAAAGAUUUAUCGCCUUUGGAUGGGCCCGCGUUGGAUUAGCUAGUUGGUAGGGUAAAAGCAUACCAAGGCGACGAUCCAUAGCUGGUCUGAGAGGAUGAUCAGCCACACUGGGACUGAGACACGGCCCAGACUCCUACGGGAGGCAGCAGUGGGGAAUAUUGGACAAUGGGCGAAAGCCUGAUCCAGCAAUGCCGCGUGAGUGAUGAAGGCCUUAGGGUUGUAAAGCUCUUUUACCCGGGAUGAUAAUGACAGUACCGGGAGAAUAAGCUCCGGCUAACUCCGUA